rnacentral:misc_RNA from 2 species
CAACCCUUAAGCCUAGCUUAGUGUUGGGAGACUGCCUAGUACGCAGCUCCUCAAAACCAGUGGCAGAGUUUUUACGUACUCUGAGCGCAGUAAUUCCAUUCUCGCUUCUGAACACGUCUAGACGAUAGCCAUAAACCGCAUGCUUCGGCAGCAACUUUUUUAAU